rnacentral:SRP_RNA from 1 species
GGUCGGUCCCCCCGGCGACGACAGGUUGUAAACCCGGUCAGGUCCGGAAGGAAGCAGCCGCAGCGGCCAGUUCGGGUGCUGGGGUGCGGCGGGCCGGA